ACAUUCUUUCAGGGCAGGGUGCGGUUUGAAAAAAACCUAUUCCCGAUCGGUGGUGACAAUCCACAAGCGAAAGCUGACUCAGUGAAAUUCUGAGAUCGACGGUAUAGUCCGGUAUAAAGAAAGAAGUG
rnacentral:ncRNA from 2 species